rnacentral:misc_RNA from 1 species
ACAAAUCUGCUAUAUGGCGAGCUUGCUCGUGCAUAUAUAUUUACCCCGAGCCUGGCAGUAAUGCCGGCUUUGGUUGGGUGGGGCGCAAGCCCUGCUCCGGUUGUGCGGCGUUAGCGCGUUGCCUACCACAUAGACGCUUGUAUGGUUUGACAGAGUUACAGUUGUAAAACUAAAAUGA